rnacentral:rRNA from 1 species
UCCUACGGGGCGCAGCAGUGGGGAAUUUUGGACAAUGGGCGAAAGCCUGAUCCAGCCAUUCCGCGUGCAGGAUGAAGGCCUUCGGGUUGUAAACUGCUUUUGUACGGAACGAAACGGCCUGUCCUAAUACGAUGGGCUAAUGACGGUACCGUAAGAAUAAGCACCGGCUAACUACGUGCCAGCAGCCGCGGUAAUACGUAGGGUGCAAGCGUUAAUCGGAAUUACUGGGCGUAAAGCGUGCGCAGGCGGUUAUAUAAGACAGAUGUGAAAUCCCCGGGCUCAACCUGGGAACUGCAUUUGUGACUGUAUAGCUAGAGUACGGCAGAGGGGGAUGGAAUUCCGCGUGUAGCAGUGAAAUGCGUAGAUAUGCGGAGGAACACCGAUGGCGAAGGCAAUCCCCUGGGCCUGUACUGACGCUCAUGCACGAAAGCGUGGGGAGCAAACAGGAUUAGAUACCCUGGU